CAAAACAUGGCUUAGAAGAAGAGCAUCUCCCUUACACAGAGAAGUCAUUCGUGCAAAUCGAAUUGUUUUGA
rnacentral:tRNA from 1 species